rnacentral:rRNA from 1 species
UACGAAGGGAGCUAGCGUUGUUCGGAAUCACUGGGCGUAAAGCGCACGUAGGCGGAUGUGUCAGUCAGGGGUGAAAUCCCGGAGCUCAACUUCGGAACUGCCUUUGAUACAGCACGUCUUGAGUCCGGAAGAGGUGGGUGGAAUUCCUAGUGUAGAGGUGAAAUUCGUAGAUAUUAGGAAGAACACCGGUGGCGAAGGCGGCCCACUGGUCCGGUAACUGACGCUGAGGUGCGAAAGCGUGGGGAGCAAACAGG